GAAAUGCGAUAAGUAAUGUGAAUUGCAGAAUUCAGUGAAUCAUCGAAUCUUUGAACGCACCUUGCGCUCCUUGGUAUUCCUUGGAGCAUGCCUGUUUGAGUAUCAUGAAAUCUUCAAAGUAAAUCUUUUGUUAACUCAAUUGGUUUCUACUUUGGUAUUGGAGGUCUUUGCAGCUUCACACCUGCUCCUCUUUGUUCAUUAGCUGGAUCUCAGUGUUAUGCUUGGUUCCACUCGGCGUGAUAAGUUAUCUAUCGCUGAGGACACUGUAAAAGGUGGCCAAGGUAAAUGCAGAUGAACCGCUUCUAAUAGUCCAUUGACUUGGACAAUACUUUUAUGAUCUGAUCUCAACUCAGGUAGGACUACCCGCUGAACUUAAGC
rnacentral:misc_RNA from 1 species